AUGACACCAAAGCUAAGAGCCCAAUCAAGCAGGAGAGACCAGCCUCCCCUGUACCCAGCUGUGUGUCCAUGAAGAGUGACCAGUCUAUGGGUCAUCCUAUACUGUUUAGAGAGGGAGCCUUUUCUACUGAACAAAGCCCAAUCAAGCAGGAGAGACCAGCCUCCCCUGU